rnacentral:rRNA from 1 species
UACGUAGGGAGCGAGCGUUGUCCGGAAUUACUGGGUGUAAAGGGAGCGUAGGCGGGACUGCAAGUUGGGUGUCAAAUCUACCGGCUCAACCGGUAGCCGCACUCAGAACUGCAGUUCUUGAGUGAAGUAGAGGCAGGCGGAAUUCCUAGUGUAGCGGUGAAAUGCGUAGAUAUUAGGAGGAACACCAGUGGCGAAGGCGGCCUGCUGGGCUUUUACUGACGCUGAGGCUCGAAAGUGUGGGGAGCAAACAGG